UAUCAAAUUAAGAGAUUCAGAUGCUCAAUUUUCAUUGAGAGGAAAUGAAGGCAUCACGUGGUCUAAGAUAAAACUCCACGGCUACUUCAAUAAUUAUGUAUAGACAUGGUUGCAACAUAGUGCAUACCCUACCUGAUGCAGGCCGUUUAGGCUAACGAACAAGUAUCUAAUUCAGUAGAAUAGGUACAUCUACUCUACAUAUAAGUACAACAGUGCGAUCGAGUAAAAAUGUGUGGUUUAUGUUUUAUUUAUACGUAGAAGCUGAAAUUUGAAGACUACCAUCAAUUAAAGAAAGACCAACGACACCGGCGAGUCCAGAAUCCAGAUCAUAAAUAUUAUUCAGAUUCGAGUUUCCCUCAUGUUAUAAGCUGAAAUUUGAAGACGAACAUUUUUCUUCAUAUAGAUACGAUAGAGACACCAUAUGCAAUCCACCGGUGCGGAGAUUUGAUUUUACCAGACGUUAAGGUCCUUCGAUAAUGGAGGCACGCGAUAGAAGUGAAAGAGGAUUUCAUAUUUGCGCAAGCAAAUAUGAAAUCUAAGCUUUCACAAUGAUCGUAUAGUUUUAAGAUUUUGGCGAAGAUAUUAUUGCUCCGGAACUUCGAUGAGUUUCCGCACGAUAUGUAUCUUGGGAAUUUAUAGUUUUCAGCCAAUCCCUGCAUCCUCUCAUGUGGACAGGAGAAUUUAAUUCAUAGCUUAAAAAUAAGAUUUAAUUUAGUAAUUUAAAAAGUAAUUUUCAGAUUAUCAGGUAUUGUAAGUAUAUUAGUAGGUAUUAUUAUAUUUUGUAUUUGAUUAAAUACUCGUAUAGAUUAAUUACAUACUUAACUCAUCUAUUCUAAAAAAAAGGAAGAAAAAAGAAAAGUACCUAUUUUACUCAAAUAUUUAUACCUACUAUGCUCAGGUUUUUUUUCAUAUUAUGUAUCUGACGAAAGAUCCACGAAAAAAUAUUGGAUUCGCAUUUUUUUGCUGUACUGCAAUAAUUAACUAAAUUAUAACCAAAUUGUAAUAUUUGAAAAUUGCAUUCCGACAGUUCUGCCCUAUACAGUCUUUUUAGAAAAAUCUAUAUUAACAUAAGUAUAUGUAUAAGUAUUUUAAUAUUAUUAAAC